CCGGAGCUAAUACCGGAUAAUAUAUUGAACCGCAUGGUUCAAUAGUGAAAGACGGUUUUGCUGUCACUUAUAUAUGGAUCCGCGCCGCAUUAGCUAGUUGGUAAGGUAACGGCUUACCAAGGCAACGAUGCGUAGCCGACCUGAGAGGGUGAUCGGCCACACUGGAACUGAGACACGGUCCAG
rnacentral:rRNA from 1 species